GGGUUCAGACACUGCCCUGCCCCCCAGGGAAAGGUGAGCCAACCUUUUGCUCUCAGAAGUCGCCACACCUGCCCACCUGGCCCCUCCUGAACACUUACCCUAUUUUUUCUUGAAGAUGAUCCUCACUGGAAAAAUAAACACCCUGCAGUUAGGAUUUAGUUCUUUGUUCUCGGUGAUAAACCAACCAAAUUUACUGUUUAUAAAAUGAAGAGUGAAGGAAAAACACUUCUGUCAGACUAUUCUCCCUGAGAAACCCAUAGAGACUUAGAAAUAAGUAAAAUGAAAUCAAACCGUAUUAUUUAAACUUGAAAUUGUUGGAUGAGAAGAGAGUUUGUAAAAUCUACUGUUUUAUUUCCUUUCUUUCAGAACAAUAACCAUCCAGAGCUUUUCUGAGUCCGUAGACUGCAGUUUCUUCCCUGUCCUCUGUGUUCCUUCAACUUGAAAAUGCGAGUUAAUAAUGCCUGCCUCCCGGCCUCUUGGGAUUUUCUGUGCGGAUUGAUGAUAAUAAAAUAACACGAAUAAUCUGUGUUUAUAUGGUGCUGUGCAGUUUAUGGAGAAGGCGCUUUCACUUAAUCCUUGCAACAACCCAGUGAGGUGGGUAAUGUGAGAUUCUGCACAUAACUGUGGGUUGAGCGCAUCACACGACAAAAAGCCAGGCUUUGUGCUUCUUGGUGGUGUAAUUGUUAGCAGUGAUGAUAAGGCAGGUCCUUGUGCCUGGUUCUUUCAGGAGGGGGACUGGGGCCCCCUGUCAGUGGCCUGAAUAUGUCUCUGCCUCAGAGUGUUGGCUUCCUAAGCGGCUGGGUGAACCGAGGAGAAGCAAGGUCAGGGCUGAUGAAGGAAGGGCUGGGACUAGGGCUCCAUUGACCCACACCCACGGUCCCUGGGGGAUGCCCUUUUUGGAUCUCCUCUGGAGAGGCUGUGAAUGAUCCAGCUUUAUCCACCCCACCCCCCCCCUCCAAUUUGGCCUCACUCCAGCCCACCUGUCCUGCUCACUGCCACCCACAGGGAGAACCUACUUCUCAGGUGUGUCCAAGGUCAAUGACAUAGGGUAGAAACCCACUACCAGCAUCAGUCCAGAAGGUCAACAGCUUUGCAAUCUCUUCUUCCUGAGCACAGCCACUCAGACUCAGGAGUGAAUCAGAGGGCACAAAAAUUGUCUCUUCCAUCUCUGACUAAACUGCUGAGAGUAAAUGGAUUUUGCAAAUAACCACUUGAGUUUUAGAUUAAAUCUCCAAUCUGGAUUUCUCCUCCUUGGUCAAUACCAGCCCCUCCGUUCUGAAUCACUGUUCUUUUUGACAUCUGCGUCACCUCCUUCAGGAGCCUGUGUCUUCCUCCAAGCUGGUUCCUCUUCUUGAGGCUCCCAUGGCUCCUUGGGUCACCCCACAGCUGUAGUGUCAUCACUGAGUUCUCUUUUACCUCCCCCAGGAAACUAUAAGCUUCUGGAAGGCCAGGACUGUGACCUCUUAUCUUUCAAUUUCAGACACCUUGUACCUGGCAAAAAAUAUUUUUAGAAUGAAUCAGUAAGUUUAAUGAAUUAAUCAAAGCAGCCUAGAGAGGAGUGGAAGGAGAACUGAAUGCACUCCUGGGUUACAGGCCACACCAUGACACAUCCGUGGCAUCCGGAUUUACUAUAUUUGCCAGAAUCAAAGGGAUUCAAAGGAAACCCUCACCCUGGCUUCAUCCUAUUUUUGUACUACAAAAGCAUCAUCCUUCAACCAACAAGCUUGAAAGACUAUUUUAUAGAGGGAUUGGGAGGGUACAUGUGAAUUUUUAAUAAAAUUCUUGUAUAAGGAAAAAAGAUUAAAAUGAUCAUAAAAAUGUUUUGGACAUCUUUGGGCCCAGGAGCACAAAACCAGGCCGUCUCUGCUCCCUGGAACUCCUGGGUUCACGUGGACAGCUGGUCUAUUCAAGUUGAUGUGGCUGUUGAAGAACAUAAGUGGACACCAGACUCUCAGGACACAGUGCAGAGGCUCUGGGAACGACGACGCCCUAUCAACCUGUGCCCAAUAUUAAUGAGUAAUCUCUUGGCUGGAGAGCCAGUGUCUGCUGCUAAGCAUUCCUAGCACUCAUCUUCUAUCGCCUUUCAGUUAUUUUAGACCAAGUACCACUUUGGGUGAUUGAUUGCUAUUUUUACUUUCAUGAGGUUUAGGAGGGUAGGAAGAAAACCACAGCAAAAGAGCGUGGCAGGAAGUUUCUUUGCAAAAGAUCCAUGUACUACCUGUGGGUUAUGGCUUCUUAAAACCCAAAUUCUUAAGUGUUCUGAGGUUAAAAGCUUCCUAUUUGCCACAAAGUUGAAGGAUGAUGAUUUAGCUGGUGUUAUUUUACAAGCACAAUUUUACAUUUGGCCAUCUCUAGAUAAAUGAGUCUUUAAUUUUCACUGGGGAAGGUCAUUAUUAGAGAAGGGGAUUCUGGAUGCUGACAGAACUCAUUUGGGAAAUGAAACUGAGGGAUUAUACUUAAAAUGUCCUAUCUACCUCUUCCCUAGGAAUCUCCUUUGCUGGGGGGCGGAAAGGAGACUGGCUGAGUCAUCCGGAUCUGGAAAUCCUAUAGGGAUGCUUCUAGGCAUUUGAGAAAAAUGGAGGAAAAAAAAUAAAAGCAGGGGCAUAGCCUCUAAACUUUUCUCUUUAUUUCCUCUACCUCCUGUCCUGAUAAACAGAUUGUCUAGAAAGAAACUUCGUAUUCAAUGAAUCUAAUCACAAUAUUGUAUUAAUUUUAUGCUUAUAGCUACCAUUCACUGAACACAAGAGUGAAUUAUCUAUUAUGUGAAUUAUCUAUUAUGUUGCCAUUAUCUGUGUUUUACAGAUGAGGAAACUGUAGCUCAGAGGUGGCUAAGUCAUCUGCUUAGGGUCACACUGCUUGAAACACGGCAGAGCCAGGAUGGCCACUGAGGUCUGUCUGAGGUCACAGACCAUGCUGUAUAGUCUUAUUGUAGGAUUCUUUUCUUCUUUAAAGAAUGAGGGUAGGAUGUCUGCAGGUAUCAAAUAACUCAGUCUAGGUCACAUCACAUUACUGGCACUGCUGUGAUAAGCACAAAGGUCUCUGAUCCAAGGCUCUCAUUCUGCUAUAGCUUUGGAGCAUUGUGACCUGAUGUGGCCACCAUAGAGCCAUGGACCUUUAAUAUUCUGAGAAACUUCCAAUUUCCUAUACUGGUUAACUUUUUACAAAGAAUCCUUUUUGUUCUUCACCUAAUUAAUGUGUUUUUUAUAGAUUUCUCUUUGUUCUUUCAAUAAAUCUACAAUGAAGAAGUCCCUCUUAUUUUUUAGAUCAUGUAUAUCAAUUUCUGGUUGGAAAGUAUGAUCACUCUAAAGAGUUGUCCUACAUGAGGUUUGGGACAAGAGUGCACGUGACAGAUGACUAAGCUACCCUAAGCAUUAUCGGAGUAGGCAGCAUUGAGGUUGCAAGUGGAGCCUGAAAGGCUCUGAAAAGACCGAGCCGGCAUGUUCAGCCCCAUCCAACACUGUCCUCCGGAGAGUCUGAAAUUCUUGGCACGGAGUCCCUUCUUUGGGUUAUGGUGUCAUGUCACCAAUUAAAACAGAUCCACUCUGUUGUUCACUGUCUCCAAGUACCUUCUUUGGUUGCACUGAACCAGACAGCCGGCUGACUGGGAACAGGGGGGUUGAAGGGAUGGGACACAGGGGAGGUAGAUUUCAGUGUAAGAAGCAGAUUCAGGAAAGAAUCAAGGCAGAGGAACCCCUGCCUGGUCAUGGUCAAUCAAACAGAUCAAUGCCCAAUAGGGCAUUUUGAGUUGAGACAGGUAAAUAUUGGAGGAACAGAGCUUGCCAGAAGAAAAGUAAUGAUCCUCUUGCUGGCUAAGAUGCUUUUAGGAAACAUUCAUGGGUAGUUUGGGGAAUUGGUGGAUGACAUAGUACCAAAUGCUCAAGGUAGAGACCUUGAGAUAGGAAAGAGGGUCUGAGACAGAAGGCAGGGGGCUGAAGACAAACCUGUUGGAAGUUCAUGAAAUCUUGACAUUGACCCUAGGUCAUAGCUCCUUGAAUGGGCAGCCUGGUGGCCAUCACACAAGCCCAGGAAGAAUUCAGACCACGUGGUUUCCGGUGUGAGAAUGGCACUGGGCACUGAGACCCAUGGAGUCUGUAAAGGACACUGAACUCCGCGGGGCCCAGCUCCCUCCCUGAUUGCGAAGCAGGAGAGCUGCCACUGGCUCCAGCAGGUCCGUUUCCACUGUGUUUCCCGGCAUUGCCACCGGGUUUCAUGUUUACUCCGAGGGCUGGUGAGCACUUCAGAGAGAAGCAGGUGAAGAAGGAUCAAGACCAUCAUCCUCCAGUGUCCAGAUAUACCACCGCCACAUCCGUCCUUCCCCCAAGGGUUAACCCUCCACACGACUAACCCCGCGUUCCCAUCAGAUGAGUCUUCAUUUAUUCUAGGCUGCGGAUGAAUACGACUCAAACCAGAAAUUAGGUCCCAGGAGUGUCUUGCUGCUAAAUUGGUUGGAUAAGUGGCAAGUGCGGCAAAUCAGCCCUUAGUGAAUUUAGAAUCCGAGAAUCUUGGUGAUUAGCCUUUGAUGGGAGAAGAGAGAGAGGAGGAGGUAGGAAGCCGAGGAACCCAUCCCUGACCUCCCGUGGUCCAGUAAUCAAGGCCAAUCAUAGACUCUGGGUGUGAGGAGAAGGCUUUGCCAAUCAUGGUGUGCAGAAAAUGAUGUUUCGGCAGAGGAAAGCCUCUUGAACACACAUUUCGCCUAUUGUGCGGGCUCAGGGGGAAAUUAUGUAAUAAGGAGAGUGGUUGCUCACAGGAAGUGAAGUGGCGGCCUCUGGGCCUGGCCCCUCCCUAUGAGACUCCAGCGAACAGCCUCCGUUUUCCCAGCUCUGCCCCGGGGCACAGCACCGCUUCCUUCCGUGAGUGAGCGGCCUGGGUUGAUGUUUGCCCCCGUGGACACCAUCUAGGUUUAUUGCCCACCUUUCCUAUGCUGGAGAUGCAUUCAGAAGCAUUUUUUAGAAUCCUAGUUUCAUCACUGUCAAGCCAGAGGCUACUUCUACAGUCCAAAGGGCAUAUGUCUCACUCAGAGUCAAACAGGGCAUAUGGUGGCCUCCUUCAACAGCCCCAGCGGGACAUGCAGCUCCCCACCCGCUAGGGGAGAUCGUACCCCAGAGAUGGCAGAUCCUGGACAGCUCCUUUUCUCCACGCCCACAGCCCACACCCCCCCCCACAUUCCCCCCCCCCCACCCCCUCUCCGGUUUAUUCCAGUGGCUCCCUCCGCCGGCUGGCACAGGAUCAGGAGAUUCCCACCACAUCUAACAGCAGACUGAGUUCAAUAAAGUUCAUUACAGAAGGGUUUUUCCUUGCUGCUCUCUUUGUUUUGCUAAAGAGCACAGCAAUAUAAAUAAAUAUAUGGUGGCAUUUUGGAGUCUAACAUCUUAGGAAAUUAAACACUGUCCUUGUUUUCCAGGUAGCCUAGGCUAUUGCAGACCCCAGUUUAGACAAAGCAAAUUGGUUUAGUUAUAGCAGGUUGACAUGGAACAAAAAAGGAUUGGGUAGCUUUCAUUGCUUCUUUGUUGGUUUAUUUAUUUACUUAAUUUAUUUAUUUUUGGCUGCCCCACUGCUGGCCUAUGGAUUUCCCCUGCCAGGGAUCAGAUCCAAUCUGCAAUUCCCAAAUCCUUAACCCACCAUGGGGAGGGCUGGGGAUCGAACCUCUAUCCCAGCGCUCCAGAGUUGCUGUACCACAGAUCUCAUUGCACUGCAACAGGAACUCUCUUUAUUUCUUUGGAUGGGGAUUUGGACUGAAGUGAGGAGAGACAAUCAGUAAGAAAGAAGCAAAAGAGCUUGGAAUCAGUGCUCAUGGAGGCAGAGACACUGCCAGCAACUCAAUCCCUGGGUCCUCGUCCAGCCCCAAGUGUGGACAGCAGCACUUGCUCCUGAUCAUUCCCCAGACUUUCCAGUGGAGGCCCUUCUUCAGAAGUAGACAUUUGGCCUCCAUCCUUCACCCAUUCACUCCUACAGAGGGGAGCAGUGAAUGGACAAGAACAAGGCAAGAAUG
rnacentral:lncRNA from 1 species